AUAAAGAUGGCAGAAAAGUGCAUUAGGUUUAAGCCCUAAAUAUAAAGAACUAUUAAUUCUUUUCUUUAUA
rnacentral:tRNA from 2 species